rnacentral:rRNA from 1 species
GACGAACGCUGGCGGCGUGCCUAACACAUGCAAGUCGAACGGGGAGUUAGCAAUAACUCCUAGUGGCGAACGGGUGAGUAACGCGUAGACAACCUGCCUCUAAACUGGGGACAACACCGCGAAAGUGGUGCUAAUACCGAAUGUGGUAACUUGAUCGCAUGAUCGAGUUAAGAAAGAUGGCCUCUAUUUAUAAGCUGUCGAUUAGAGAUGGGUCUGCGUCUGAUUAGCUAGUUGGUGAGGUAAUGGCUCACCAAGGCGACGAUCAGUAGCCGGUCUGAGAGGAUGAACGGCCACACUGGGACUGAGACACGGCCCAGACUCCUACGGAGGCAGCAGUGGGGAAUCUUCCGCAAUGGACGAAAGUCUGACGGAGCAACGCCGCGUGAGUGAAGAAGGUCUUCGGAUUGUAAAGCUCUGUCGUUUGGGACGAACGUGGGUAGUGUGAAUAAUGCUAUCUAAUGACGGUACCAAAGGAGGAAGCCACGGCUAGCUACGUGCCAGCCGCCGCCGUAA